rnacentral:rRNA from 1 species
GAUGAACGCUGGCGGCGUGCCUAAUACAUGCAAGUCGAGCGAACAGACGAGGAGCUUGCUCCUCUGACGUUAGCGGCGGACGGGUGAGUAACACGUGGAUAACCUACCUAUAAGACUGGGAUAACUUCGGGAAACCGGAGCUAAUACCGGAUAAUAUAUUGAACCGCAUGGUUCAAUAGUGAAAGACGGUUUUGCUGUCACUUAUAGAUGGAUCCGCGCCGCAUUAGCUAGUUGGUAAGGUAACGGCUUACCAAGGCAACGAUGCGUAGCCGGCCUGAGAGGGUGAUCGGCCACACCGGAACUGAGACACGGUCCAGACUCCUACGGGAGGCAGCAGUAGGGAAUCUUCCGCAAUGGGCGAAAGCUUGACGGAGCAACGCCGCGUGAGUGAUGAAGGUCUUCGGAUCGUAAAACUCUGUUAUUAGGGAAGAACAAAUGUGUAAGUAACUAUGCACGUCUUGACGGUACCUAAUCAGAAAGCCACGGCUAACUACGUG